UUGUUGUUGCACUUUAGUAUUUUUUGUACUCAAAACAAAAAAAAAAAAAAAACAAUGACAAAAAAAUACAACUAAGAAAACAAAAAUGAACAAAAUGAAAUGACUGGGAGGAAGAGAAGGAACGGGAGAGAGAAGAGACGACGAGGACGAUGCUGCCUUUAUCAACAGUGACCCAGCAUGUAUCUGGGGCAUGGACACAAGGCACAGGGAGCAAACCACCACACACACACACACACACACACACACACACACAGUAAAUGUAUGAAUGGUCACAUCCCAAACCUCUGUAGUCUUGCACUUUUUCCUUUUAUCUGCCGAGUGCUGAAUUCUCAGCGAAUCGCAUUAAAAUUACAAACUCAUGAAUGUUAACCAAUGGUCGUGUCCCAAAUCUCACCUCGGCCCUGCUCACUUUACACAUCGGUCACAUGAAACGCUGCGAGGAAGCUUAAACAGGUGAACUCUAAAAGUUCAGUCAACUUCAUUCACUAAUGGUCUUACCCCUGACAGUGCGCACUCCAAACCUAGUGCACUUGAAAUAUUCUGCUUGACAUUUGGAACACAUCAGAUUUAGCAGACUGUAUUGUUGGACAAGUAUUGUUAGUGCCAAGGGUUAAAUUCAAGAGUCUAGAGAUCUGGAUACAAACCUCCACUCAUAUAUGUGUGCGCGCACGCGUGUGUGUGUGUGUGUGUGUGUGUCAGACGUACAAAGGGAAGGACCAGACUGCAAAUGCGAGCAUUUUAUGAUAUGUAUGAACGAGCAUCUCUCAAACACACACACAAAAUGAUGGGCGUGACAGCGCAGCACAGCAAAAACAAUAAAAGGCAGCAAAAAUUAAAACAUAAAAAUAAAAAUAAUUACACUCUCCUCGGCCUGUGGGACAAACGAACAUCUCUUGGAGAAAAAAGGGACGAAGAAAUAAAGAAAUAUAUAAAAACACGCACGUACAGAAACACAGAAAGCUGACAGAAACGUUGGCGAGCUAUACAUGGCGUCACUGUACAGGAAGAGGAAACGGCGAUGCACUGCGCUGCCACGAGCAAGAAAAGAGAUGGAGAGAAAGGUGUGGAAUGAAUGGAAUUAGGGAGGGAGUGAAAAGAAAGAGGGAGCGGUUAAGAAAAUAAAGCUCGCUUUAAACUGAAAGUGCAGGAUCGUGUUUUUUUUUUUUUGUUUGUUUGUUUGCAACACCGAUUUUUUUCUCUCUUUUAAUAAUAUUAAUAAUUGUCAUUAUAAUAUUAUAACCAUAAAACUUCUUUUACAGAAAACAAGAACAAUAAUAAUAAUAAUUAAUAAUGAUCAUAUUCCUACGUGAACAUUAGCAGUAAAAAUGCAUUUAAAAAAAAAAAAAAAAAAAAGACAGACAGACAGAGAGAGAAGGAGACGAAACGAAUGAGAGCUGGACGUCCUGUGCCAUGGCGAAGGUCUCCGGGCCCGUCCACCCCCGCCAGCGUAUCAGAGUAGACCGCUUCGCGCUGGGCUGCUAUCAGAGCUGCUCCGGAAUGAUCCAUUGUAGCGCUGCGGAUGGGGGGGGCGGGGUUACAAAGCGCUGACACCACCCCGCUUCCCAAAGAAAGGAAGAAAAAAAAAAAAAACCCACAAAAGGACAGGCUGUUUUAUGAAAUACUUUGGGUUUGUGGCUUUGCGUGUGAUCUGUGUUUGUGUGUGUGUGAGAGAAUGUGUGUUUAUAUUUAUACAGAUGUGUCUACGUAAGACUGUGUGCAGAUGCCUCGCAAUGGCGACGUCAACAAGACAGACGGGGCGGGCCCGAAGGAGCAGAUGGACGGUUUGGGGGCGGAGUCGGAGGGAGUCACCCGGUUCGUCCAAUCGGUAGGAAGAGCGAGACGAUGAGCGAGCCUCUUCUUGGAGGAAUUCCAUGGAGGAGAGGAAAAGAAUGCAGGGAUAUUAGUAGAGAAAUUGAUGUGCAACAGGAUUAGGCAUGGUAAAUAUCACGGUACAACUAAUCAUCAGCACACGGCUGUUUCAUGUGCAAAUCAGAGCAUAAACACGUCUUGUCACAGCCACUGCAAAGUUGGGCUGGAGCCGCUGAUGGGAAAACGAAACCUAAGCCGAGCACCGUGGCUCUUCGUCCUGGUUCUUUGGGGAGAGGGCAGAGGACUCUGGCUGUGCGGGGCGUGGCAUUACAGUCUAGCUGCUAUUGUUUUUCUAAGCAAAGUCUCUGUUCCAAGUUCCUGGCAGUUUCAAAAGCUUAUGAAAAACCUACAUCAUGUCACAGAGCGUUAAUCUUGCGAUAAAAAAAUUAUCGCCGUUAAAAUUGAGUCAAGUUAACGUGAUAAUAACGCGACAUUUUUGACAGCACUAAUAUAUCAAAUUAACAUUUUGAAAGUUGUGCAGUGUGGAAUAGUGUGUAACUUGUUUCCUGAAUGUUGUAAAG